rnacentral:rRNA from 1 species
GGGAAUCUUGCGCAAUGGGCGAAAGCCUGACGCAGCGACGCCGCGUGAGCGAGGAAGGCCUUCGGGUCGUAAAGCUCAAUAGUGUGGGAAGAAGUAUGACGGUACCACACGAAAGCCCCGGCUAACUACGUGCCAGCAGCCGCGGUAA